rnacentral:rRNA from 1 species
AGCGAACGCUGGCGGCAGGCUUAACACAUGCAAGUCGAACGCCCCGCAAGGGGAGUGGCAGACGGGCGACUAACACGUGGGAACGUACCCUUUGGUUCGGAAUAACUUGGGGAAACUCAAGCUAAUACCCGAUAAGCCCUUACGGGGAAAGGGUUACUGCCGAAGGAUCGGCCCGCGUCUGAUUAGCUAGUUGGUGAGGUAAUGGCUCACCAAGGCGACGAUCAGUAGCUGGUCUGAGAGGAUGAUCAGCCACACUGGGACUGAGACACGGCCCAGACUCCUACGGGAGGCAGCAGUGGGGAAUAUUGGACAAUGGGGGCAUCCCUGAUCCAGCCAUGCCGCGUGAGUGAUGAAGGCCUUAGGGUUGUAAAGCUCUUUUACCCGGGACGAUAAUGACUGAACCGGGAGAAUAAGCCCCGGCUAACUUCGUGCCAGCCGCCGCCGUAA